GGAAUCUUCCGCAAUGGACGAAAGUCUGACGGAGCAACGCCGCGUGAGUGAUGAAGGUUUUCGGAUCGUAAAACUCUGUUGUUAGGGAAGAACAAGUACCGUUCGAAUAGGGCGGUACCUUGACGGUACCUAACCAGAAAGCCACGGCUAACUACGUGCCAGCAGCCGCGGUAAUACGUAGGUGGCAAGCGUUGUCCGGAAUUAUUGGGCGUAAAGCGCGCGCAGGCGGUUUCUUAAGUCUGAUGUGAAAGCCCCCGGCUCAACCGGGGAGGGUCAUUGGAAACUGGGGAACUUGAGUGCAGAAGAGGAGAGUGGAAUUC
rnacentral:rRNA from 1 species